rnacentral:lncRNA from 1 species
UUUAAUAAUCGUUGAGUUUCCGUAGUUGAAUCGAUCUCAUCUUUGAAUGCCUUAACUACACUCCAUACUAAUCAAGCCGGGAAUGUUUUUUUUUGAAGAAUUGACAGGUGAAAAGCUUUUCCAGAUAUCAUCGUACAAUAUCGAGAAAAUAAACAGUCUUUCUGAAUCUCUUUCUUAUUAUUUGAGGAGCAUUAGAUAAAACUAACAUUUAUUUCAUGUGUUUAUUACAUGUAUGCCAUUUCCUACGUGGCAUUACCACAAGCUUUCUCACACUUUAUAUUCAAACACUCUUCUUAACUAGACUAAUUACAAAAUUUGUCAUUGCUAAUUACAUUAAAACUUUCGUAUAUACUAUAAGCUUAUUGACUAACAAAAUAAUUUAUCCCAUGCCCUACUACUCUUUGAUUACAAACGUUUCCAUUUUCAAAUACGCAGAGAUUUUAUUACCAUAAUCAGAGAUUCUUUAUAAUUAUCGAUUUCAAUAUGGAAAUUCGUAUAGCCU